GCAUAUCAAUAAGCGGAGGAAAAGAAACCAACAGGGAUUGCCCCAGUAACGGCGAGUGAAGCGGCAAGAGCUCAAAUUUGAAAGCUGGCCCCCUCGGGGUCCGCAUUGUAAUUUGCAGAGGAUGCUUCGGGAGCGGCCCCCAUCUAAGUGCCCUGGAACGGGCCGUCAUAGAGGGUGAGAAUCCCGUAUGGGAUGGGGUGCCCGCGCCCGUGUGAAGCUCCUUCGACGAGUCGAGUUGUUUGGGAAUGCAGCUCUAAAUGGGUGGUAAAUUUCAUCUAAAGCUAAAUAUUGGCCGGAGACCGAUAGCGCACAAGUAGAGUGAUCGAAAGAUGAAAAGCACUUUGAAAAGAGAGUUAAACAGCACGUGAAAUUGUUGAAAGGGAAGCGCUUGCGACCAGACUCGCCCGCGGGGUUCAGCCGGCAUUCGUGCCGGUGUACUUCUCCGCGGGCGGGCCAGCGUCGGUUUGGGCGGCCGGUCAAAGGCCCCUGGAAUGUAACGCCUCUCGGGGCGUCUUAUAGCCAGGGGUGCCAUGCGGCCUGCCCGGACCGAGGAACGCGCUUCGGCUCGGACGCUGGCAUAAUGGUCGUAAGCGACCCGUCUUGAAACACGGACCAAGGAGUCUAACAUCUACGCGAGUGUUCGGGUGUCAAACCCGUGCGCGCAGUGAAAGCGAACGGAGGUGGGAACCCUUUGGGUGCACCAUCGACCGAUCCUGAUGUCUUCGGAUGGAUUUGAGUAAGAGCGUAGCUGUUGGGACCCGAAAGAUGGUGAACUAUGCCUGAAUAGGGCGAAGCCAGAGGAAACUCUGGUGGAGGCUCGCAGCGGUUCUGACGUGCAAAUCGAUCGUCAAAUUUGGGUAUAGGGGCGAAAGACUAAUCGAACCAUCUAGUAGCUGGUUCCUGCCGA
rnacentral:rRNA from 1 species